CUUUUAGUUCGUUAUCUGUCUUAUCAUCGUACACUGAUUCUAGGUUCACGUUGUUAACUGCCUGGAGUACGAAACGCAACUAACAAAUGACGCAAUAGUAGUAUAACCAUCAUUGUAUUAUCAAUGGACUUUAGCUUGAUGGUCAAGAGCUUAUUUUUAAAUGAUUACUAUUGUUCUUAUCAUGAAUUGAUUAGUGGUAUAAUAUUAACAUUAUUUAUACUGUAAUUGAUUAAAUAACCAGUUUUUUUUAAAUAGUUACAUUACAAUUUAAUGUAGUAGUUAGGUUCUGGGUCAACAAUAAUCCUUAGUAAGGGCUUAUGUAUAAAGUAAUCGAUUACAUAAUAUAAUUUUUCUAAUAAACAAUUAUUUGUAGAUAGUAACUAAUUGAAUAAAUAUUUAUAUUGUGGCCAGUCAUAUAACAAACAGGUUUUUCAUAAAAGUAAUAUUAUAUAUAAUAAAAUACAGUUAAUCAAUUGGAUACUAACUACUUCACACACUAACCAAUUUUAUCUAACUAAUAUUUCAAAUAAAAAUUGUAGUAUUGAUAAUUGUAUAAUGUAAUAGGUAAAAUUACGAAAAUUCGAUUAAUUUAUUGACAAAGUAGCACUUUAUUCAUAUGAAAAAGUAAUACAACGUUAGGGCCUGUGCCGGGUUUUCUUUUUUUUUUUUUUUUUGAAUUUAUCAAAAGCGUGUAUGUAUAUAUGUAACGAGACAAUAAUUAAAAGGCCUUAUAUCCAUUAGAACAGAGGUUGUUAGAUUUUGGGCCUUAUCGAGGCCGUAUUUUAUUUAUUUUAUUAUAUUUCCCCUGCUACAGCGAUCGUUACUUUGCAGAUUCAAUAAUUUCAAAUUAUUUUUAAGAGAAUCUCUUCUUGUACUAUUUAUAUUCAUGUUUCAAUUUAUUGUUCCUUAUUAUUAGAAAAACUAACAAGCAAAGAGAACGAACGCUAGCUAGCAGAGGAAGUAAAAUUUGAUCUCUCUCACAAAGAGGACUUUCUUUCCAACAGAGACGUUCAAAGUCAGCACGCAGAAUCAAUUGUCCUGUUUGUAUAUCUUCACGCUUUAUUUUUUUUUUUCUUCUUCUAAAUUUAAUUAUUUUUCUCCCCUUCUAUCUUAUCGAUAUGAUGUUCAACAUUUAUUCACUUUCGUUAUAUUACUCAUAUUUAUAAUUAAUUAUAAUAUUACAAUACACCAAAAAACCAAAUGUCAAUUAAGAACAAUGAAAUAUAACAAUGAAUAUACAAAUUAAAUUAAUCAUUUCUGAUUUAAUCCGAGAAUAAUUUUGCACGUCUCUGUUUUUUUUAUUUUUUUUUUUAUAACAUGUGUGUGAACCAUGGGCAUUCCUUUUUUUUUUAUUUUUUUACAUUUAUUCCAUAAACUUUUUCUAGCUUUGUAAAUCCCAUAUUUCGUUUACAUAUGUCUCAUUAUUGCAAACUUAUUUCUUUAAUAUAUUUAUUUAUUUUUCAUUUUUUUUUUUUUUUUAUAAGAUUAUCCUUCUUACAUUCUUUCAAG